ACUCCUACGGGAGGCAGCAGUGGGGAAUAUUGCACAAUGGGGAAACCCUGAUGCAGCCAUGCCGCGUGUGUGAAGAAGGCCUUCGGUUGUAAAGCACUUCAGUAGGGAGGAAGGUAGUGUAGUUAACACCUGCACUAUUUGACGUUACCUACAGAAGAAGCACCGGCUAACUCCGUGCCAGCAGCCGCGGUAAUACGGAGGGGUGCGAGCGUUAAUCGGAAUUACUGGGCGUAAAGCGCAUGCAGGCGGCCUGUUAAGUCAGAUGUGAAAGCCCGGGGGCUUAACCUCGGAAUUGCAUUUGAAACUGGCAGGCUAGAGUCUUGUAGAGGGGGUAGAAUUUCAGGUGUAGCGGUGAAAUGCGUAGAGAUCUGAAGGAAUACCAGUGGCGAAGGCGGCCCCUGGACAAAGACUGACGCUCAGAUGCGAAAGCGUGGGGAGCAAACAGGAUUAGAUACCCUGGUAGACUGUCA
rnacentral:rRNA from 1 species